rnacentral:rRNA from 1 species
UACAGAGGGGGCGAGCGUUGUUCGGAAUCACUGGGUGUAAAGGGUGCGUAGGCUGUCGGUUAAGUCUGAUGUGAAAUCCCUCGGCUCAACUGGGGAACUGCAUUGGAAACUAGCUGACUGGAGUACCGGAGAGGGAAGCGGAAUUCCUGGUGUAGCGGUGAAAUGCGUAGAUACCAGGAGGAACACCGGUGGCGAAGGCGGCUUCCUGGCCGAGUACUGACGCUGAGGCACGAAAGCGUGGGGAGCGAACGGG